AUGCACCGGCGUGGGGACAGGGGACGGUGCUGCUGCUGCAGGCACGGCCAGCCCUGGACACGACACCCUGCAGCCAGGGAUGUUCUCCAGCUGCUGCAGAGGCUGCGAGAACCAAACGGGACAAGCUGGAGAUGUGGCAAUGAAAUCAUCACUCGCUGCUGGUCCCCUGCAGGACACGGGGCUGGGCUGGGGGCUCCCGGACACAGCUCUGGGGUCACACACGCCGCGGGGAGCCCGGGCAGCAGUUCUCCCGGUGGAAGCCCCGAAUGGCCGCGUUCCCGACCGCCCAUCCCGGGAUCCCGGCAUCCUCGUGCUCCGGGAAAACAGCGGAGCCCGUCGCUCCCCGUGUCCGUGGUGACAGCAUCCCCCGCUCCAUCCCCCCUGGCGGGGAUGCCGGGGCCGGGGGCUGCGGUGCCAAACAGCCCCGGCUCUGCAGCCAGCAGCUGCCACCGAAACCUUCCCAGGGGCUCUCCUGCUCCCGGCGCCUUCCCAAAACCUCUUCCCAAAGCUUCCCAGCACCCCCAGCCCCGAGGGCUGGCUCUGGGUCACCCUGGCUGGGGGUGGCCCUGUCCCAAGGAGCAGCGGAACCGUGUCCAGCCCUCCCCAGCCUCCCCUCUCUGUCCCUGCCUGGCUGCUCCUGCGGAUUUCUCCACCUUUUCCUGCGGGGCACAGAGCCCUCACAGCGUCCCCAAGUACCGAGGCCAGGCUGGAGGAACAGGGCCUUCCUCGGCUGCGUUCCCUCCUGGAUCCCGACAGCAAUUCCAGCCCUCCCUUGGCACGUGUCAGUGGGGUCGUUUUCCCCUUGGGAAAAAAGCGAGAAAAGCUGGGCAGGUGCAGGCAGCGCUGGGAGGGUGGGGAAAGCAAAAAGGACAAGGCAGCCCCAGACAUAGGGCUGGGGGGGAGGAAGUGUUGUCCAGUCCUGGCCCCAAACACGCCAGCACAGAGGAGACCCUAAAAACGGGGCACACGGCCCAAUUCCCAGAUCCAGCACCUUCCAGAACCUUCCACCCCAACCAAGUCCCCCAGAGCAACCCCAGCUAG
rnacentral:lncRNA from 1 species